UUACAUCACUAAUUUCUGCAAUACUUCCAUCUCUAACUACCUUGAUUAAAUAGAUUGGUCAUUUGUAAACAUGCCUAAAGAAAAUUAUAAACAAAAAGUUAGAGACGUCUGGCUACAGAGCUCAGAAUUCAAGGAAUGGCUGAGAAAGGACUUGACUGAUUUGACAAGGGCUUAUUGCAGCUAUUGCAAGUGUAGCAUCAACGCUAAAUUGUGUGAUUUGCGGGUACAUGCAAUUUCCAAGAAGCACACCGGAGCCCUAAAUGCUUUCGCCCAAAAAAACAAAAUUGAAUUCAAAAAAAUGCCGACCAAGACCAUAGAACAGGAAGUAGCACUGUGUCUUUUUGUGGCAAAGCAUACAGCAAUAAGCCCUGUUGACCAUCUGAGCAACAUAUGCUCCACAAAAUUUGAUGACAGCAGUAGUGCUUCUCGCAUUAAACUUCAUCGAACGAAGUGUACACACAUUAUAAAAAAUGUUCUGGCUGUCCAUUUUUACGAUGACCUCCAUAGAGAUAUUGGAGACAAAAAAUUUAGUUUACUUCUGGACGAAUCGACAGACAUAAGCUUUACGAAACUUCUCGGUGUGGUAGUUAACUACUUUUCUGCAGAACAUGGAGUAGUUGUAUCGACGUUCCUUAGCUUGAUACCCGUAGAAAGUGGAGAUGCAUUGUCAUUGGCUGAUGGUUUAAGAAAAGAACUGAAACGUUUAAAAUUAAAUAUUAAAAAUUUAAUUGGAAUCGGAACUGACAACGCCAGUGUCAUGAUUGGCACAAACAACAGUUUGUACACACAAUUAAAGAAGGAUGCGCCGUCCCUAAUUUUAAUAAAAUGUGUUUGUCAUUCGGUGCAAUUGGCAGUAAACCACUCGUGUAAGCACUUCUUUCCCGAAAGCCUGGAGUUCUUAAUUUAUGAGACUUAUAACUGGUUUUCUAAAAGUUCUG